GAGUUAAUGCCCAGCAUAGGCCUGGCCCACGAUACUUGCCAACAUUUGAAUGCUCAGGGUCCAACGCUGCGCAGAAUGUACCACAGGAAUUGCCUCAUUUGACCAUUGGCUCCACUUUACACUGAGACCCAGGGGUUCGGUGGCUUGCCCAGGAGUGGAUAUGAAUAUUGGCAGCCUGCUCCAGAGCUUACUUUCUUCGCCACUGUGCUAUCCUCUCAUUACCUCUGAAGUUUAAGUGCCUUCUGCCAACAAUUCCUAAGGUGCUGGUGCCAGGAGAGGACUGGGGCUGAGGCUGCAGAGGAAGGCGGGAUGGCGAGGGGACAUGUUCGUCAUAAAGCAACAGAGAGGCCUGCGUGUCCGGGAAGUGGCUGGGCUGGGCAGAAUGCCAACCCCCAAACGACAGAUUGCGUAAUUUCUAAACCAAACAGAGAGGUAGGAAAGGGGGAUGGGGUGGGAGGAGUUGGGGAAAGAGGAAAAGUGGGGGAGAGAGGGCUGAGGAGAGUGGUAGCCAUACAGGUGUUUUGUUUUUUAUUUCCACAUCUGAGGGCUGAGAGUCUGAUUUGCUGCCUGUCCAUUUCCGCCGCUCAUCGACUGUCCAUAGCUCAGCAUGCCAUGGGCUCCACAGAAGUUCAUCCCAGCCAUCUGCUGGGUCAUCUGAAAGGGAGAGAGGAGACUUUCAGACCAGGCUGUGGGCAUGCAGCCAAUUACUGCAAAAAGACAGGUCUUUCCUCCUAAAAAGAAGGGGCCUAUUGUUAACUUGCUGGCCCCGAGAGUUACAGACGAGCCCCGGACCAGCGCUCCUGUUCUAUCUCCAGCAGAGUUAUUACUGUCAGUGUCAGUGAAGUGCUUGUGCACACUCAAGCACAGAGAAAAAGAAAGAGAAACUGGACUGUUCAGAAUGAACAAAGGAAGGCAAAAAAAAAAAAAGAAAGAAAGAAAGAAAGAAAGAAAGAAAGAAA